rnacentral:rRNA from 63 species
GAAUGCUGACAUAAGUAACGAUAAAGCGGGUGAAAAGCCCGCUCGCCGGAAGACCAAGGGUUCCUGUCCAACGUUAAUCGGGGCAGGGUGAGUCGACCCCUAAGGCGAGGCCGAAAGGCGUAGUCGAUGGGAAACGGGUUAAUAUUCCCGUACUUGGUGUUACUGCGAAGGGGGGACGGAGAAGGCUAUGUUGGCCGGGCGACGGUUGUCCCGGUUUAAGCGUGUAGGUGUGUGUUCCAGGUAAAUCCGGUU